rnacentral:lncRNA from 1 species
CUGCCCCCUGUCACUACCUGGUCCUUCCAACUUCUAUUUUUUUCAUUUCAGAUUACAGUAUAUUGUUUAUAGCAACUGGUCAUGCCACGAACACCAGAUGCGAAAGAGCUGUCAGAUUUUCAAAGAGGACGUAUUGUGGGUCAGUCUGAUAGUGGACGUAGCCAGCGUAAGAUUGCACAAAACCUUGGAAUUCCUCUUGCCACAGUCAACAGAGUGAUUGUCCAGUUCACCAGCGAAGGAAAGGAGUCAACCGCCUCCCGCUCAGGUCGACCUGGGCCCUCUGAUAAGUGUCUUCAGACUGUUAAAAAAAUUGUUGAAAGUAACCCCCAUUGCAAGGCAGCUGAUGUUGCAGAACAACUUCAAAAGAGUCGGAGAACUUCUGUGAGGUAUCUUCAUCAACUUGGUUACUACGGUAAAGUAGCCAGAAGGAAACCUUCUUUGACCCACAGAUAUCCAAAGGAUUGGACAAAUAAAAUGGUAGAGAAAGCCAAAUGGGUUAAAACAUUAAAACCUGCAGAAGAAAUGUCAACUACAUCCUAAAUGAAUUAUUUAAACGCAUCAGAUAACAUUAUUUUCUUUCUUGAAAUUAAAUCCUUCAAAAAAAA